AGGAGACUUCGGUCUCUGAGUAGAGCGGCGCACGGGUGAGUAACGCGUGGAUGAUCUACCCUUGAGUUCGGGAUAACGGUGCGAAAGCGCCGCUAAUACCGUAUAACAAUCCAUUUCAUCGUGGGUUCAAAGCAGGCCUCUUCAUGAAAGCUUGCGCUUGGGGAUGAGUCCGCGUCCCAUUAGCUUGUUGGCGGGGUAACGGCCCACCAAGGCUACGAUGGGUAGCUGGUCUGAGAGGAUGAUCAGCCACACUGGAACUGAAACACGGUCCAGACUCCUACGGGAGGCAGCAGUGGGGAAUAUUGCGCAAUGGGGGAAACCCUGACGCAGCGACGUCGUGUGAGGGAGGAAGGCCUUCGGGUCGUAAACCUCUGUCAGAAGGGAAGAACAUCCGGGAGUCGAACAGCCUCCCGGCCUGACGGUACCUUCAGAGGAAGCGCCGGCUAACUCCGUGCCAGCAGCCGCGGUAAUACGGAGGGCGCAAGCGUUAAUCGGAAUCACUGGGCGUAAAGCGUGCGUAGGCUGCUUGAUAAGUCAGACGUGAAAUCCCUCGGCUCAACCGGGGAACUGCGCUUGAUACUGUCGAGCUAGAGUCCUGGAGAGGGUGGCGGAAUUCCUGGUGUA
rnacentral:rRNA from 1 species